rnacentral:tRNA from 1 species
UGCCCUGUGGUGUAAUGGUAACACAGCGCCCUUUGGAGGCGUUAUUCUUGGUUCGAGUCCAAGCGGGGCAG